rnacentral:rRNA from 2 species
UUUGGUGGCGAUAGCGAAGAGGUCACACCCGUUCCCAUACCGAACACGGAAGUUAAGCUCUUCAGCGCCGAUGGUAGUCGGGGGUUUCCCCCUGUGAGAGUAGGACGCCGCCAAGCA